ACUCAAAUGAAUAGACGGGGGCCCGCACAAGCGGUGGAUCAUGUGGUUUAAUUCGAAGCAACGCGAAGAACCUUACCUGGAUUUGACAUCCUAUGAAUGCUGUAGAGAUACAGAGGGCUCGCAAGAGACAUAGAGACAGGUGCUGCAUGGCUGUCGUCAGCUCGUGUUGUGAAAUGUUGGGUUAAGUCCCGCAACGAGCGCAACCCCUGUCUUUGGUUGCCAUCAUUCAGUUGGGCACUCCAGAGAGACUGCCGUCGUCAAGACGGAGGAAGGUGGGGAUGACGUCAAGUCCUCAUGGCCUUUAUAUCCAGGGCGACACACGUGAUACAAUGGUCGGUACAAAGGGUAGCCAAGUGGUGACACGGAGCCAAUCCCAAAAAGCCGAUCUCAGUUCGGAUUGGAGUCUGCAACUCGACUCCAUGAAGUUGGAAUCGCUAGUAAUCGCGGAUCAGCACGCCGCGGUGAAUACGUUCCCGGGCCUUGCACACACCGCCCGU
rnacentral:rRNA from 1 species